rnacentral:rRNA from 1 species
UACGAAGGGGGCUAGCGUUGCUCGGAAUCACUGGGCGUAAAGCGCACGUAGGCGGGUCGUUAAGUCAGGGGUGAAAUCCUGGAGCUCAACUCCAGAACUGCCUUUGAUACUGGCGAUCUUGAGUCCGGGAGAGGUGAGUGGAACUGCGAGUGUAGAGGUGAAAUUCGUAGAUAUUCGCAAGAACACCAGUGGCGAAGGCGGCUCACUGGCCCGGUACUGACGCUGAGGUGCGAAAGCGUGGGGAUCAAACAGGG